rnacentral:rRNA from 1 species
UUGGAGGGCAAGUCUGGUGCCAGCAGCCGCGGUAAUUCCAGCUCCAAUAGCGUAUAUUAAAGUUGUUGCAGUUAAAAAGCUCGUAGUUGAAUUUCGGGGUUCUACCGUCGGUCGGGCUUUGUCUGUACUGGCGUGUAGAAUUUCUACCUUCUGGGGAACCAUUAUGUUAUUAAUUUAGCGUGGUGGGAAACCAGGACCUUUACCUUGAAAAAAUUAGAGUGUUUAAAGCAAGCUAACGCUUGAAUACAUUAGCAUGGAAUAAUGAAAUAGGACGUUCGAUCUUAUUUGUUUGG